rnacentral:rRNA from 1 species
CGUAGUCCGGAUUGGAGUCUGCAACUCGACUCCAUGAAGUCGGAAUCGCUAGUAAUCGUGAAUCAGAAUGUCACGGUGAAUACGUUCCCGGGCCUUGUACACACCGCCCGUCACACCAUGGGAGUGGGCUGCAAAAGAAGUGGGUAGUUUAACCUUUCGAGGAGGACGCUCACCACUUUGUGGUUCAUGACUGGGGUGAAGUCGUAACAAGGUAGCCCUAGGGGAACCUGGGGCUGGAUCACCUCCUUAUACGAAGAUACC